CUCACAUGGGAUAAAUACAUUUAUUACAGCAACACACGGUAUAAAAGUGCAGGGAAAAAGCUUAAGUUGUUUUAUACAAACUGUUUGAUGUACUAAAAUAUACCGGAUAUACAAUAUACAGAUAUAAAAUGAACAGGAAUCAGAUUUGCAGGUUGAAUAUUAGACCAUGUAGUUUGGUUUGGUCUGUUUUUAAAUCCAGAGCUGAUUAACCACAGUUUUUGUCCAUAUUCAUUGUGUCCAUUGGGAUUAAGAAAAACAUUUAGUAUUUUGUAGAGAUGUAAACUUACCUUCACAAAUCAGUAAAAUGUUGUUGUAGCUGAAACCCAUUGGACAUUCACAGCGGAAACUGCCAAUUUGGUUGAUGCAUACUCCAUUUGCACAGAUGCCUGGGAUCUCCCUGCAUUCAUCGAUAUCUAAACAAAAGUGGUAUUAGCACGCAGAAAAGGGUCUAUCUGGACUUUGAAGGCCUGGUUAACUGCCAGGUUAUGGAAACAUUACCGAUUGGCUUGCCAGUGUGGAUGUCAAUGAUGAAGCCAGGAGCCUGGUUACCACACAGCAGCUGGUACUCAACUGGAGAAAUCAGGACAAAGUAGUUAUUAACAGACAGGAAUGAAGUGCAUUCAUGAAGAUUAGUCUAGUCAUUAGCUUUCACGCAGGCUUGAGGUUUUUUUUUUUUGGAGACUUACUAGUGGCAGGAGUGGGACAGGCCUCACAGGGCUUGUUCCAAGCUUUCCCCACAUUAUAGGCACAGCAGCACAUCUUCUUGGUCAUGUUGAAGGACAACUCGUUUUCACAGGUAUCGUUAAAGUUGCGGUAGCAGACACUCUUCCUCAUGUCCAUGGAGGCCAUGAAUCCAUCGAAACACAGACAGCGAUAUUCACCGGGGAUGUUGGAGCACUGGCCUCCAUCACAGAUUUCUGGGGUCUCCUCACACUCGUCAAUAUCUAAUCAGAGCAUGGAGAAAUUUGGUUUGGUUUGUGGUAAAGCAGGUCUGACUUUAAACAAACCACAUUGGUUGUUUUAUCACCUGAACACGUCCUGAGGUCCGGCAUCAGAGCGUAUCCUUCUGUGCAGCUGCACUCAUAGCUGCCCUCCGAGUUAGUACAGUGGGUCUCACAGCCUCCGUUCAUGAUGGUGCACUCAUCAAUAUCUGCCAUCAUUUAAAUGAGCAACAAGGAUAAAGACAGCAGCUCAUCUGCAUUCUAAUUUUGCCUGCAUAUUUUUUUUCUUUCCAGAUCUGAAGUCAAUGUAGUUUGCAGUAAAAAUCUUCUCCACUUACCCACACAGCCCUGUCGGUCUGGGGUUGCCUGGUAACCGGUGUCACAAGAACACUGGUAAGUCCCUGGCAUGUUGACACACUGUCCAUUUUUGCACAAGUUGUCACUCAGCUGACACUCGUUCAUAUCUGAGACGGCAAAAAAGAAGGUACAAACCUACUUUGCAUCUGUUUAGAUUAUUAAACAUUUAGUAAAGUAGCACUCUGAUCGUCUUUUGAUCUAUUGUAAAAGCGUUCCCAGU
rnacentral:lncRNA from 1 species